rnacentral:misc_RNA from 1 species
CAGUAAAAGUUAGCCAGCAAGUUGUAUGACAGGCUGUCAUUAGAUUUAUAGUUGUAACCGUAGAGCUAUAUAAUUAUUAACAUACUUAUCGACUAUUUUGUAUCUUCGAUUCCCCAUUGGUCGUUAAUUAAUAUUUUUUAUACUAUUGUUUACAGUUUAAGCUUCAUUUCUAGUAUAAUAAUUGUGAGUGAGAAUCAUGGAUGUUGAGAUUAUUAGUGAAAAAAUUGAAUGCAGUGACUUAAAGAAAUGCGGUGAAAUAGCUACUUUGCUAUCAGUUGGGAAACCAGAAUUUUUUCUGAAUUGUGGUUUUUGCGAAUACACUUUUCUACAACUGGAUAACUUCAUCGCCCAUAUGUACAAUGAUCACAUAACUGAGUUUCCUGCAACUGAACUAAAAAAAGAAACAACAGAAGAAGAUGAAAUGUUGAAUGAAUGCUCCACAGACACUUUGGAAUCUGUUGCACAAGAGGAAUAUUUAAAAGAAUUUGAAAGAGUCGAAAUAGAAUUGGACACAUCUGACGCUAAUAUUUUAAAUGAUAACAAAGAAUGUUUGUCUAAGGAAUUUGACGAGCAAGAAAAUGAAAGUAAAGCUACAUUAACGGGACGUAUCCAGAGGAAUCAAAAUUUUCAGCUUAAUUUAAAUAGAGGCGAUGAAAUUGAAAGUAGUGAGAAAGAGUACAAACGCCCUCAAGAACAAAGUAUGAGAAAAAGACCAUCUAAAAUUUCUCAUAACCGAAGAAAUGCAAUAAGAGAAAAAUAUAAAUUAAAUAAGGAUGAGCUUGAAAGUCAAAGGGAUUUGGAAAUGGAAAUUUCCGAAGAAGUUAUCGACACAAAAAAAUAUCGUAAUGAAAGUGAUUUAGAUGACACAAAGAUGUCCAACAAUUAUGAUGAAACAGAUGAUGAUGAUUUCUUACAAGAUUUCGAUGAGAGCGAAGAUGUAGACGAACCACAGUCUAAAUCCGCAUCUUCGUUGACUGAGAAAACUAAAACCAACACUUUUGUAGCUUUAGAAGAUUCACAAUACCAACUUUUGGCCGAAAUUUAUGAGAAGCAAACCUGCCUUUGGGAUGAGAAAGACAUCGCAUAUCGAUUUAAAAAUAGGCGUGAAGAUGCACUUAAUCUCUUAAAUGCGGAAUUUAAUGAAAUAACUGAACUAAACUUAACCACAGCUGAAAUGGAAUCACACAUUUUACAUCUGAGAAAAAUUUGUUCAGCCCAAAAGAAACAGAAAAUCGUAUGCGAAAGAAAGAAUGUAAAAUUUCAAUCAAAGUGCUCGUUCUAUAAGCAUAUAACCUAUCUGCAAGUGGAUGUACCUCCAUUCGAAUGUCGGAUAUGUAAAAAGCUAAUGCGCUCAAUAGGUCAAUACAAAGUGCACUUUGCCGCUCAUGAUGGCUCCUUACCGUUUGUCUGUCAUCUCUGUGGCCAUGGUUUUCAGUUAGCAUCUAAUUUAACUGUGCAUUUACGAAGACAUGUGCAGGAUUUUACGUACAGAUGUGAGCAGUGCGAUAAGCCUUGUGCGACGUCAACAGAAUUAAAAAUCCAUAUGCGUUCACAUACCGGUGAGAAGCCUUUUGUUUGCUAUAUUUGCGGUCAGAAAGCGCGAACUUCAUCACAACUAUUAGUACACAUAUUGCGACACGAAAAGCGACCUCGUCAUAAGUGUAAACUUUGCCCGAAAACCUUCUAUGAAACCGGCACGUUAAAUGAGCACAUGAGUAUACACAGAAAUAUUCGUGACGAAAUAUGUGAAGUGUGCGAUAAAGGUUUUAUCAACAAGAAACAACUACGCCAACACCAACUUAUCCAUAAUUCAGAAAAAAAAUAUCCCUGCAAAAUCUGCGGAAAGCGUUUUGCUCAAUAUGCGGGCCUUAGCGGACAUAUGAAAACCCAUGGUACUAAGCUAUCUGCUAAAGUUUCAGAAAACCUUACACCUUCUUAGGAUCAACUUUAAAAAAUGUUCGACACAAUCAUAUAGGCGGUACAGCUGUAGACUUCGAUCGGAUACCAUGCGAAAGAAGCCACUCAAAUUAUAUUGAUAUGCAAGAUUUUAGCAUACAAAAGAAAAAACAAAGGCUUACAAAACGAACGGCUACGACGUGUUUGUGAGUUACACAAAGAAUCCUAUGAAAUAUCGACUAUCAACCUCUGCUUAGGGUCAUGCAAAAUCUAAGUCCAAGUCAUCGAGUUCAUUUAGCGGGAGAUCCAGGAAACACUCUGUUUCGACGGUUUUCGACCAGAGAGUAAGGUGUGUUAGAUGAGUUAGUUUCCCUUAGGAACAGCUAGUUAGUCCAAAUCAUGGAGGUCAUCUAACGGUAGGUCGAGGAAACGAGCUGUUCCGAUGGGCUCGGAUCAAAGGCAAAAGAAAGAUAGCUGUGUUGGUUUUAGGACAAUGUAUUUGGUAUGUCGGGGUCGAGACUUGAUAGGUAAGAGUUUAACUUGCUACAAUAUCCAGACCUAAGUAGCGCCAGUAUUACGCGGGACCUUCGGUAGCAUCCCUGAAGAAAUUGCUGGUAGAGCAAGACUUUAUGCUACUUAAGACGUAGCUAAGAUGCUUCGCUGUGCAAGUGUUGCUCAGAUGACAUCAGAAUGCUACCUGUCACGGUCCUGAGGUUGGUUGGUGUCGUGGAUGGUGCCUUGCGUGUAAGGCAUAUGUCGGUUUCAAGUCUGGAUGGUUCGGAAUUCAGUCGAUUACAGUAUUCAAACCCUGGUUUGUAAUAGGUGGUGGUGGUGUCUUUCAGUGCUUGCCAGCGGUUUGAAAAUUUCGUUGCCCCUCUUUGCUUUAGGAGUAAUUCUAGUCCCACGGCGGUAUUAACCGUUGGAAUAGAUUUUCAUAUAUAGUUCUAGCCUGCCUAGGGCUACCGAGGAUAUAGUUUGUUAUAGUUGUAGCUUUCGUGCAGUGAAGAAGAAAAGGUUCACUUUCGAACAGACAUUACCAAUAGCCUGAUCAGCCUUAAUAUAGAAUUUAAGAAAUCAAUGUUAAACAUAUUAAAAAAAAAAAAAAAAAAAAAAAAAUAUUAAAAUCAAUACAAUUACAAUUAGAGCUGGAGCUGCUAUUUUUAGACGUUCAACAGAAAGUUGUGUGUUUGUUUAUUAAUUAACCUAAAUUCCCUUAUACUCAACUUUGGAUGUCCGCAUUUUUUUAUUUGGAAUAUUUCACAUUGUAUUUUUAAAAAAAAAUUAAAAAAAUUACUUGAAUAGAGUAUUAUUUAUACUACACAUUUCCAAUAAGACUUACGUUGCUAUCGGUUACGCCUUUUCUGACUAAACCACGGAUCAUAGUACAAAUUUGAAAAUCGAUUUUCAACUGCCACUUGACACUAACCAACUCUUUAUAUUAACCUUAAGUCCUACUCUUCUAUCCCCCUUCGCUCUGGUCUGAACAGCUCGUUUCCUGGACCUCCCGUGGAAUGACCUCGAUAACUGAUAUAGCUUGCUCCUAAGCGGGAUUGGACUAGCCAUUACAACGUCAAAAUCUAAUGCAUUUCAUAAGAAGAGCGUCUGGCUAACUAAUCAACAAAUGUUAACAUACUAGACAUAUGUAUAUUACUUAUGUUACCGAUUAAGCAACUAGAGAUUAAUUAGUACUUGGGUGUACUUUAUAAUUAAAAGUUUAUUUUAUAAUAAUAAUUAUUCUUAAUACAGGCUGA